UUAGCCCUUUAAUUGGAGAUUUAGCCCAUCGAGAUUCUAUGCUGGGAGAAUUACCUAUUAAACCUCUUACCUUGAGUAGUUUUGCCUCCUGCCAGUAUAUGUCUUCAACACCAACAGCCUGUGAAAAUUGAAUUUCAAGUUCACUUGAAUUUGGCAAAUAUUUCUUAAGUUUACCUUGCAUUUGAAUCCAUGAGAACCCCUCAAGAAUAUGUUCUACACAGAGUCUGUGGCCCCCAACAACACCACAUAGUGAGUUUUCCUUCUGGAAAGGUGAUGAUAUAAAAAUUCAGUUUCUUGUAACCUCUCUCAGAAAACAAAGAACAUAUCAUGUCAUCAAACUCCCUGAUAAAUCUUUCCUUUUGUUUGUUGUUUGUUUAUUUAUCUUUGAAAUUACAUUUGCUUGUAAUUUAUGUUUCUAUAAAAUAAUAGAGACAUACAAGCAUCUCAGUGUCCCAAAUGAGGUAAGAAAUUUGUGUUUGGAGCUCUUGUAUAAAUUAGAUAAUGAAUCAACCUAUAUUGUUAUUUAAAGGAUCUAUAUUCUAAUGCAGUCAAGAGAGAAUGUCACAAAGAGCCCUCAAACUGGCCAUUUGUUCCCUGACUCUUUUACUACCUCUUUCAUGUUGGUCCUAUGGUACAGACAGGAAGAUGUCAAUUUUUAGAUAUAAGUAAUUCUGAUAUUGCUU